rnacentral:rRNA from 1 species
UACGUAGGUGGCAAGCGUUGUCCGGAUUUACUGGGCGUAAAGAGCGCGCAGGCGGUCGAUUAAGUCGAAUGUGAAAGCCCCCGGCUCAACUGGGGAGGGUCAUUCGAUACUGAUCGACUUGAAGGCAGGAGAGAGAAGUGGAAUUCCCGGUGUAGCGGUGAAAUGCGCAGAUAUCAGGAGGAACACCAAUGGCGAAGGCAGCUCGCUGGAACGGUACUGACGCUGAGGCGCGAAAGCGUGGGGAGCAAACAGG